rnacentral:rRNA from 1 species
UACGGGGGGGGCAAGCGUUGUUCGGAAUUACUGGGCGUAAAGGGCUCGUAGGUGGCCAACUAAGUCGGACGUGAAAUCCCUCAGCUUAACUGGGGAACUGCGUCCGAUACUGGAUGGCUCGAGUUUGGGAGAGGGAUGCGGAAUUCCAGGUGUAGCGGUGAAAUGCGUAGAUAUCUGGAGGAACACCGGUGGCGAAGGCGGCAUCCUGGACCAACACUGACGCUGAGUGAGCGAAAGCCAGGGGAGCAAACGGG